AAUUUAUCUAGAUGGAACCAAUUAAGCUGAAUCACUUAAUGUAUGCUGAUCGGCAUCUGGAUCUUUAACUGCUUAAAGCAACUUCUUGUCAAGAUUACUCGAGUGUUAAUAUAACCAACUAGUAGUUUGCAAAAAGAAUAAUUACAUAAAGCGAGCAUUGGAUUAAGAAAAUAAGCUGUCUUUUGGCAUUAAAGGCAUUGUUAAUCACAUAUACUUUAUGUAUUUAUGGAUUAUUUGACAAAGAAAAGCUGAAUGGGUUAUGUAUGUCUUCAUACAAAGAAAAUUGGGAAAAGUGAGAUAAAUUAAUUCAGUUAAAUCUCUUCUAAUAUCGCAUUUUUUCAAUCUAAUCAUUUUUAAGGUCUAAUUCAAAUCCCACUUCCUCAAUGAAGCAAACCUUCCUUAAUUGCAUCACAUCUCAAAGGAAAGGUUUAGACAAACUCUUUAAUCACAUUCUAUUAUUUUAUUCUGGUUGAUCUCUUUCUGCUGAAUAUUGGCUACUCUUUUUACACGUAUAAGCACAUAAAUAUGCACUGUGCUAUAUGGUUUUCUAAUUAUUUUUUGUGGAUUGAUAUAGUCAGCACAACUCAACUGUAAUUUCCUUGAAGGCAAGGAUGAGGUGAUGUCUUUCUACCAAAGCAUAGUGUAGAAUGAACCAUAGUGGCCCCUCAAUUAAUACUACAUAAGUGAUUCAGUGACAUUGAAUACAAUAGCAUUUCUACAAUAAAUGGUCUACCUUAAGAUAUUUUGGAACAGCUUUAUGUAUAAUUACAUGUUCAUAAUUGCUACAAAUUAAUCCAAGGUAAGAAAACAUCUUAAGGAGGCUAAAGAUGCUAUAAAAAGUGCUCCUUAGGUUCCCAACUACUUGAGGAGUCUAUGUUGCCUAGAAGUAUCAGACAUAGGAGUGGCCAUGGUCACAAAUAAACAAUGAAUAGGGGUUCCUGGGUGGCUCAGUCGGUUGGGCGUUGGACUUGGGCUCAGGUCAUGAUCUCGCGGUCCAUGGGUUCGAGCCCCACCUUGGGCUCAGUGCUGACAGCUCAGAGCCUGGAGCCUGCUUCGGAUUCUGUGUGUCCCUCUCUCCCUGUCCCUCCCCCACUCACACUCUGCCUCCCUCUCUCUUUCUCUUAAAAACUAAUAAGUAUUAAAAAAAAUUUAAAUCACAUAAAUGGUGAAUAAAGGGAUAUUUAUGUUAUCUUUAUAAUUUCUUGAUACUAAGCACCAGGUGGAAUGUGCCAACUAUUAUAUCUGCCAGGGUGCUGUUGUUCUGGAUUUAAAAAAAUGCUUACUUCAUAAACACCUCAGUCACUGUUACUCAUCUUCCAUUUGGGUACUUGUUCUCAUGUUGGCCUUUUAAGUUAAUUGAAGGAAAACAAGGAGCCCUUUGUGCCUUUGACUUCUCUAAAAUUUCUUCUUUGUGGUCUCCUCAUACGAGCUUAAAUUAGGUGUCACUUGACAAAGUUUCACUGACAACAUUUCCAUGAGAGAAUUACAUCAUAUAGUGCAACAGGUGCAAAAAUUAUCAGUUUAGAAUACAACGCUAUAUCAUUUAUUCAGCAAAACUUUGGGAAAAUGAUAAUGGCUUUGCCAGUAGCAUAAGCAGAUACUUAGAAUCAUCAAGAAAAAAUUUCAUAAAGGAAUUUGAACUGCUUUUCUCUUUGUUAGUUACACAAUUGUGCCUUUCUUCUUUGUUGUAAGGGUAUAUUUAGGUGACAUUUAUGCUUAUGGAAAGAUAAAAUGGAGAAAGUAGACUGGGAUUGACGCUUUUAUUUUCCUUUGUCAUUUACAUUUUCUCCAAGCUGACCAGAGUUAUAAAAAAUAAUCUUUAAUGAAGGGAUUUUGGGUCUUCAGGAAUUAGGCCACUCUUGGAAUUUUAAAGGAUUAACCAAAGCAGGUAUUAUACUAUAAUAUUUAAUGACAUUGUUGAAGUGUCUGAUAACCCUUGGUGCUAAUAUCUGUUUUUUAAUUAACAACCUUUCAUAGAGGAUGCAGAAGCCUGCCCUGUUAAUGUGAUUAUUCAUGCUAACCUCAGUGCUCUGAGAGCAAACAAGGUCCACACAACAACUGCAUAAAUGUUCCAAGUUUAACUCUCAGGCUGGUGUUCAAGUUAAAGAACACUGACAAAAUUUAGUUUCUCUCUUAAUUGUGGAUAAGCAAUUAUAACAAAACAUAUAAAUCCCCUCUAUGAAUAAUUGUUAAAUAUUAAUUUUAGUUAUUAAUAGGACAUAAAUAAGUCAUACUCAUACUUUUCUUGGGUUUUAGUUUAAAGGAAUUGGUUUUUGCAUUUAGCAAUUGUUUCUGGCUAAUCUCUACUCACCUUUUUCAAAAAAUUUCAUGUUGUGCUUAGAUCAUAGAGGCACAUUUUCAGUAAAUUAUUAUUCUUGACCUGAGAUGCUGCAUAAUGUAGGAAUAUUUCUGAUAGAUAGAGUUCUAUAAACGACAUGUUUUGUAGUUCAUUCAGUGGUUCACAGAUCAUAUACGUUGAAAAGGUAGUAAGCAACCAGAACGAACCAGGAUAAUGACAGAAUGGAGGCAGCAAAUACCUGUGGCUGUAGCCACCUGAGAGGAUGAAGUGUAUGAGUUUCACUCACUUUAAAGAGAUGAGGACUGCCUUUCAGUCGCUUAAGCCAGCUCACCAAGACUUGUUUUGACAAUGCAAUUAGCUCACAGAUCCUCUGACAUAAGAAUUGUAAGGGAAACAGACUCUCCUUAGGGGAUAUGAUCUAUAUCCUUCCUUGGCCUAAGGCCCCAUCCAGAGAGAAAUCUGGAAACUGCUAUGUUCUUUCUUUUGUUACCUGAAAACCACAAGUAACAUUUAAUAAUUGCACACAAAAAGAAUACUUUCAGGUAUUAGCAAUGGUGAUGAUCAAAAACUCAUAGCAGAUACCCAAAGUCAUGGUUCUACUCAGGUAUUUAGCACAAGGCAUCUACUAAAUGAUACAACUAUAAGUUAUUUAUUUAUUCAUUCAACAUGUGACCCAGUUCCUAUGACAUUGUGGGUUUUGUGCUAACUUCCAGAGAUACACAGUGAUAAGCAACAAUUCUUGUCCUCAAGGGGUUGACUGUCUAAUGAGAGGAGAGAGGUGAUUAAAUAAUUCAUUAUAGUAUAGGGCCCCAAAUAUUAUGAUCCUCUGGGAACAAAUAGAAGACAAAGAGGAACACCUAACUUGUAGAUUUAAGUUUAUAGGGGUUUCUAGGAACAAAUGAAAUCUAAGAGGAAAUCUGAAGGUUGUGAAUGAGAUAGUCAGUGUACUGUAAGUUUUCUGGUGCAGUGAAAGAAAUUCCACUCAAAAUAGUUCAACCAAUUAAAAAAAGGAAAGGUGUAUUACGUGAUCACUAACUGGUAAAUACAGGGGUGAGUGGGACAGAGGUUAACUGUAGUCAGACAAUGUAGUUAAGAGUGUAUGUGUAUACACACAUAUAUCGCAAUCUUUCAUCUCUCUUAGAUGUUUUUCAUCUCUUUUCUCUGAUUCUUUUUGCUUUGGUCUCGUUCCCCUCUACUGCAGACAGUCUUCCUCCCAACUGGUAGGAGACCUGAUAGAAGCAGCUCUGGUUUAGCACAUCUAGGAAAAAGGGGAAAUAUUCCUCACAGUGUUAACAUUAUUGGCUAUGCUUAUGCCACGUGUCCACCCUUGAUUAACUACUGUGGCCAGAGGAGUGGAGUAAUGCUACCCGAAGACUAAAGUAGAACUUAUUGAGUGGGUGACAGAGAAUAAAGAAAUCCCCAAAAGAAACAGAGAGAGUCUUUGCAAGAGGGAUGAGUGAUUUUAUCAAAAGAGUGAAUUAAGCCGACAUGUACAACUCUUCCAUCCAAAAUCCCAUGCGAGGCCAAAAAUUUCAAAAUCCACAAUGCUAUGGAUAAAAGAUUUUAUGACAUGUAAAAUUAUAGAUUUCUGGUUAGAUGAAACCACAGCCCUGUAUGCACAAAGAAGAUGCUACAGAGUUAGUGAAGUUUCCUUAGGCAUGCUCAAUUGAUACAGAAAUAGGAAAAGCUUUAGAGGGAAAAAAGCCAAAAGCAUGUAGGGAACUGCUUUCAGAGCAACUGCGCCAUUCAGCUCCUUCACUUCUGCUGCCUGUGCAGAGCACAGGGACUCCAUAGCAUUUUCCCCAAAACUGAAGAAACUACUGUGGACAUUGACACCGAAGAGGAGGGCAGUUCUGAGGUUUCCAGGAGAGAUCAUGAAUAUACCCUAAAUAUAAUCUACUGGUGCAUCUAGCUACCAUUAUUAUUUGCCCCUCUCCUACAGUCUCUAGUGGCAAGCUAUGGCACACAAACAUCGCCAGGCAAGUGAACAAGGAUUAUCUAAUGUAAAGAUUUUAAAUGGCAGCCCCAAAUCACCAAGCAGUUGAGGAAAGCAAAAUCAUAGAUAGACAUGAAACUCUAUGAACAAAUCAAAGAAUAGCUAAGGAACAGAGUUGAUAGAGCAAGUGGUAGAAGACUUGAAGUCCGAUUAAUAGUCUUAAGAGAGUUUUAAAGGUUGCUGUAUUCUUGAAAAAUUAACUAAUAGAGAUCUUGGAAAUUUAAAAUAAGAUUUGAAAUCUCUUAUUAAGAUAUCAGGUACAAUUUCAUGUUGAUAGGUUUGAAAAUCUACAAAAAAACAAUACUCGGAACUAUACCAAUAUUUACUUAAAAGAAUAUUGAUGAUCUUAGUAGAAUGAUAAUUAUGUAACAUAUUGAAAAAUCCAAAUG